rfam:Beta vulgaris subsp. vulgaris chromosome 4, whole genome shotgun sequence.
GGGUGCGAUCAUACUAACACUAAUGCACCGAAUCCCAUUAGAAUUCCGCAGUUAAGUGUGCUUGGGACAGAGUAGUACUAGGAUGUGUGACCUCCUGAAAAGUCUCGUGUUGCACCCC